rnacentral:rRNA from 1 species
GACGAACGCUGGCGGCGUGCCUAAUACAUGCAAGUCGAGCGAAGUGGAGAGAGCUUGCUCUCAAAGCUUAGCGGCGAACGGGUGAGUAACACGUGGGCAACCUGCCUGACAGACCGGGAUAACUUGGGGAAACUCAAGCUAAUACCGGAUAGGAUCUCGAAUCGCAUGGUUUGAGAUGGAAAGUCUGAACGACACUGUCAGAUGGGCCCGCGGCGCAUUAGCUAGUUGGUGGGGUAAUGGCCUACCAAGGCGACGAUGCGUAGCCGACCUGAGGGGGUGAACGGCCACACUGGGACUGAGACACGGCCCAGACUCCUACGGGAGGCAGCAGUAGGGAAUCUUCCACAAUGGACGAAAGUCUGAUGGAGCAACGCCGCGUGAGUGAUGAAGGUUUUCGGAUCGUAAAACUCUGUUGUAAGGGAAGAACACGUACGAGAGGAAAUGCUCGUACCUUGACGGUACCUUACGAGAAAGCCACGGCUAACCACGUGCCAGCCGCCGCAGUAACAC